UUCUCUAAUGGACCAAUGAAAGCCAACGAUGACAAGUUGUGGUCAACAGUCCUUGAAUGUGCUGAUGGUUCUGCUCUCAUUACUCUUGUCAGCAGUGUUGUCUGCACAUUUUCGGGUCUGCGAGCCAUACACGGACUACAAAGGUCGCUACCACUUUGGUUUUCACUGCCCCCGUCUUUCUGACAAUAAAUCUUACAUCUUUUGCUGUCACCAUAACAACACAGUGUUUAAAUAUUGCUGCAAUGAGACAGAAUUUCAGACUGUUAUGCAGAUGAACUUAACAGGGAAUGCAGAUGGAUAUAUGCAUAACAACUACAGUGCACUGUUAGGAGUGUGGAUCUAUGGCUUUUUUGUGGUGAUCUUACUGAUACUGGACCUUUUAUAUUACUCUUCAAUGAACUAUGAUAUUUGCAAAUUCUACCUGGCCCGCUGGGGAAUCCAGGGAAAGUGGAUGACACAGGGACAGAGCCGAUGGAUUAACCCUGCUCAGGACCCAAGACAGACACAGCCUCAGCCAGAGACACAGCCUCAAAUUCAGCCCCAGCCUCGAACAUCACAGACAGUACACACUCUAAAAGGAGAUGCUUUAAGCCCACCCCUGGUGUCUUUUCAGAGUACAUCUGCCUGAACAGUGUUCAGGAGUAUCAACCAAUUCAGGAACUACCAAAUGAAAAACACUGCUACUAAUUGAAAAAUACUUGACUUUCAGGAGCAUAGAAUUACUUCAGAAACCUUAUUUACAAAAAUUAUAUUGAUGUGCCUCAAGAUGGGAGAGGUAAGACCAGACUUCAAGGAGCAGCUUUCAAGGAAACCAACUAAAUUACAAGAGCUGAAAAAAUUAUGGAUAAGCAGGAAAGACUACAAAGAGGAAGACUGAGCAAGUCACCUGAAGAUAGACACCAUUCAAACAACUUCUACAGGCAAAUUAUAUAGAAAGAGUCUCCAGGAGAAAGUAGUCUGUAAGCAAUAUUUUAAUUCUAGACUGACACUAUUAUCUCUGAAAGGAAGCAUCAUAUUUGCAAAAAUGCUCAAUAGGAAGAAAAUUAAGUUGCUCUGGCAAAUCCACACAAAGGUGGAAAACAACCACAAGACAAACCUUUGGUAGAUAACUUUUCUUUGCCUCCCCAUCCAUCAAUUGCCAUUUGAGCCUAAUCUCAGCCUAAGUGUCAGAAUCCUGAAUGUGAGUUUUUCCAAAGUUCUCUGGUGAACAUUUUGUCACUGUAGGGUAGCUGCUGGCAAUCCACAUCACUGUUCACCAUAUUGUCCUAUGCAUUGCUAAGGUAAGCAGAGCCCUUUCAUUGAGUCAGACUGCAGGGUAGCAAUCAUAACAUACAUUUCUACAUCGUUGGCAAUGAUUCUGCUAAGACAUCUGAGUCCAUCUUAAAUUCAGGUUCUUGAAGAGGCAAACUUUAUUAGGAUGCAAUACCAUUCCACCCCCAUACUCCUUGAAGCUGAAAGAAACAGAAAAAACCCAACAAACUGUAUAUUUCAAAAGCAAUAAUACCACUGUCCCCCUGCUUUAAAAGGCAGUAGUCCAAUUCCCUCAGCCACUGACUGGCUGCAGAGUUUACCCCACACAAGUCUCAGAAUCCAUUUGUAAGCCAGAAAGGCAAUGACUGCCAGAGAAGUAUGUGGAGCACUUGAUCACUGGGUUGCAAUAGGUUGAUGUAACUUUCCACAGGACGGGAUUAUUUUAAAAUUAUACAGUAUCAAUUACAUGAGAAAAUCCUGUGAAAUUCAGUUAUUUAAGAUAUUUGCAUAGAGAACCUGGCAAUGACAAGCAAACAGAGGAGUUCAUCUGGAAAUCAUAACACAAAGCCAUGAUAAUGCCAAUUUCAUGCUUCAUGUCUAACAUUUUGUCCUGCAAAUCUUAGUAACUUUAAAGUAACCAUACAUUUUACCAUGUAACCACAACAUGAGGAACACCUUGCUAAUGAAUAAUCAAAUGUUCCUUUUGUACCUCUUUGGCUGAAUAAAUUUUAGUCUUCUGUUGAACUCAAAGGGGACACUUUUCUCAGUGAUUUGAGUUACUUCACGGCUACUGGAGUUCAGGAUGAUACAUGACUAAAACCAUGAAGGAAUAGAUAGUGUUGGAGUACCCAACAAGGCUGGAAACCACAGGAGUGGAAGCCCAGUCUUCAAAUAAAGCCCAGUCUGAGUAGGAUACCAACAUGCACUUGCCCCUUUUCUCUGUAAACCAACAGCUAAACAUGCUAGGUACCAGUGAGUCAGGGCAGGCAGUACCUAAAAGAACAAAUUCACAGGUGGGUGUGCCACGCUGCAGGCAUUAAACUCCAUCCUGUCCCAGGAAAGCUUGAAGCCUGGCCCACUCUCUCUCACCACAGAAGCUCCUGCCCACCCCCUCAGCUAGCAGAUACCUACAGGAGCUGCCACAGUGCACCUGGGGUGUUACACCUGUGUUACACCUUAACAAUUCUCCAAGAAAAGAAAAAGAAACUGAGUAGCUGGAGGUGAUGCCAUCCACGCCAAUGUCCUGCCCCCUCCCCACUUCCUCCUUGGCUCCAAGAUCCGUAACCACUGCAGACACCCAAAAAAGUAUCCACAGUAGAUACUUUUUGUGGUGCUCUGCAGUAGCUGCUUGGGUUUUUUACCUUCUCCCAGCACCUACUUUCAGUGUGAAGUGAUGACUGCCACAGAGAGCUUUGGAAAAAGCUUAUGUUCAUAAAGGAAUUUGUAUUAAAUACUGGUUUGUGUGACUUACUGUAUUUUGUAAGGGUUUUUUUCCCUUUGGGAAUUGUGCGUUAUUAAUGAGCAGUUUUAUGCUUUACUUCUAGCACAUGUAUACCUUGUAAUGGAUGUGCAUUUUGUUUGUUUGUUUUCUUUUACUCUCUAUACAGAGCCAGUUAAUAUAAGGUAUAUUAUUCUCUGGCUGAAAUUCUGAUUUUUCCUACCAGUUAAUUUAUGGAUAAAUCAUGUUGUAGCUGGUGAAUUAUUUUUCAUCAAUUGUGUUGUUUUAAUCACCUGAUAGCCUCUCUAGCAGAAUAAAAGAUCCUGAAUAAGACUAAUGCUAGUUGGGCCUUAAAUUAAAGGGAAAUAAUUCAUUAAAUAAAAGGAAAAUUAUGUAUUUCCCUACCACCAUUUCUAUCAGCCCUUCUUCCUUGGUGUUGGGACACUGGAGAAGAGCACAGGCUACACAAACAGCCACCUGAACACCUCAGCCACCUCUGUAGCUGUGUUCUGGUGUCCCCCUUCAUUUACUUAAUCAAAAUAAUGAUGGACCAGACAAACUGCAAUGAAUUUUUCUGUUAUUUCUGCAGAGAGACUGGUUCAAAUGCAAUUCUUCUCUAAAAGAAAUUAUCUGGACUAAAAUAAUUGAAUUUUCCUCUAUGUCUAUCCUGAUAUGUUUGGGAAAAAUAACAGAACUGAAAUUAACACUUACAAAAGUACAUACAUUAUACACCUAUGUGACAAUGGCAGCUGUCUCUCUCGGUGGGUAUUAGUGACCUUCCUGCUCCAGAAGCCUCUUCCCCUGUCCAAAUAAUUUCCUCUCUUCUGUUUCACUGAGAACUGUGUCCAACUUCUUAGUAAUUGUUGUGUAUAAUGUAGGACAUAAAAAGAUAAGUUAAAAAGCUUGUGCAGGACUUGGUGUUGUAAUUUAACCAUCUUUCGUGCCUGGUUAUGGAUUUUACAAAAAACAGAGUGAAAAUAAUCUGGCCUCUUAAUGUAUAAUUCAGCAUAUUGUAGCAGCUAUUUUAGACACCUGUUUUUUAUAGUUUUACUAUGGCUGUAAUUUCUGUAUGAGGACUGUCCACUUGAAGAAGUGGUGUCAAAAUGAUUUUUAAAAGUCAGUUCUAUGCCACCUGUGAUUGUGUAUGAAAACUAAAGCAACAAAAACAAAACCUCAACCACUGGCCGGGAAGAAACACCUUUUCUCAGCCUCAAAAGUUCUCUUCUAUAAGACAGGCAUUUCUUCUAGUCCUUCUUUUACAAAAGUAGUAAAUUACUAAGAAGAUAAUAUAUAUACAGUGCAAUAGUCUAUUUUGAUAGUCAGCCAACUAUUUUAGGCUAAGCUAACUAGAAAUUCUAGGGUUGCAGUGAUUUCUCUUUAUUGAUACAUUGAUGAUAAUACUGUUUACAUAACACUUGAUGUUUGAAAUCAAUACGUGCCAGUGUCCAGUGAUUUGCUAAUCUAGUUUCUGGUCUAAUCCUGUCCUAUUUUUUGCAGCAUUCUCUGACUUCAUAUUAUGAAUCAUGUUGUCUUUCUAAAGUGAUUGCCAAGUAAACCAAAAAUGUGUUUUA